UUAGUGGUAAUUGAGUCAAUCUUUUAUAAGUCAAAUUUAGGUUCGACCUCCCUUAAAGACAAGAGACGAAAAUUUUAUUUUUACGAAUAAUUUAGCCAAAUUACCAUUUUGCCCUUAGUGUUCAAAAAAAUAAUAGUAAAAUAAAUAGAUGGAGAUCAGACACGCACGCACUGGUUUUUUUCUUUCUUUCUUCUCUUGUCAUUGUCAUAAGCUUCGAAGACUCCAGGUCAAAGGAGUGGAGAGAGAGCUUUGAACCAUACCCAUGUCUCCCCCGAUCUCCCUCCCUUGCUGUUCUUUUUCGUCUGUCAUCGGUGACCUUGAGCAUGCCACAGAUUUCUUUUUCCUCUUCCUCUGUUCUGCGUCGCUGAUCGCUUAACGUUGCGGGUCAUUGUUCAGCUCGUCCGUCUGCUAUUCAUUCACAUCGUCGGCCAUUCUUCUUCCUCUGUUAAUAUUGUGCUAUGGGUUCUUAAAUUUCGGACUGCGGGAGUAGUCGAUUCCGGCAAUAGGCUGAUUUACUGGUCUUCUUCUUCCCCUGUUCAGCACCAAACUCCUUCUCUCCCUUCAUCGUUGUUGCUGCUCAUGGCUGAGGAGAGAGAGACUUCAACUUUUCUGGAAAUUUCGACCAUCCCAACUCUUCACUCCACCGUCCAGCUCAUCAUCGGUGAUGUGGGUCACCAGUGAUAUUCUCCUUCCCUUCUGUUCUUCGCUCCUUCUCCUCUGUUCGUUUCUCUGUCGUGGGUGUUAUCGGAACCUUCCUUUCGUCUGAGAGCAAGAGAGAUUCAUUGCUCAGAAGCUUCAAGUCAUUCGAUCCAGCACCUCUGUCCUUUUGCUAUUCAACAUGCUAUUGAUGAGAAUAGGAGUUCCGCUUGCUGUUGCUGAGAUGUCCGCCCAGAACCACAGCGUUGUGGUGCAAACCGUAAUAGAGUAGUUAAAGGACAAUUGAGAGGUUUAUGAGGCACAAGCUAUUAUUUUGGGCGUUUAACAGAACACUGAUUGCUAACGGCAGUUCCGUUAGCCCUUGGCAUGCCAUGGCACACCUAGCUAGCAGGGUGUUUAUAGGAGGUACUAGCCCCGUGCGAUGGCCAACGCACGUGGAAUGGAGGGAUGGUUAUUCGUAAGCAUUGUACUCACGUUUGUUUUCGUGGCAUAAGCCGCGUUUGGUUACUUACCCUCGUGGAUUGUGUGUCCACGUUUGUUUCGUGGCUUCGGCCGCGAUUGGUUAUUUGCCCUCGUGGAUUGUGUGUUCACGUUUGUUUUCGUGGCAUAAGCCGCGUUUGGUUAUUUACCUUCGUGGACUGUGUGUCCACGUUUGUUAAUUGUUCUGAUAAGUCCCUAUAAUUAUGAAUCCAAUUAUUUGAUGA